UGCCAUGCCAUGCUUUUGUGUUCAUGUCAGGUUUAGUUCUUGUUUAUGUCUUUGUUUCUUUUUUAAUAAAAACGCACUUGGGUUCUAAAUUGCUCAUCUCUCAGUGAAUUACGUUACAGAAAUAAAUGCUUCAAAUUUUUCAAAUCAUUAUUGUUUUAUGCAACACGUCUUCCUUUAUUCUCCUUCCACACUAUCUAGUCUGAGCCCAAUUUUGUCCCAUACCUGCAAGAAAAGAUGGAAGCCAUAGCAAACCACAGAGAGUGAGAGACUGUAAGGACAGUGGACUUGCAGCUGAGAGGUUUUACCCUCCCAUCACACCUGUACCAACAGUUAAGGAUGUAAUAGCAAAAGCCCUGGAACACAUUGGCACCUAUCAGGAGCUAAAUAUCCAGGAGCAACUGCAGGUUCUGAUCGAUCCAGAGAUGUGUAUCAACUGUGGGAAAUGUUACAUGACCUGUAACGAUGCCGGAUACCAGGCCAUCGUGUUUGACCCUGAGACUCGUCUGCCUGUGAUUCAGGACAGCUGUACCGGCUGCGCUCUCCGUCUCAGCGUCUGCCCCAUCAUCGACUGCAUUAAGAUGAUCACUAGAACAAUAUCUUACAUGCCAAGACGAGGACAUCCAAAUGUCGGGAAUCCUGUAUGACGAAAUACAUUUUUUAAGAUUAACGUAAUAAAACUUUGUUCAUAAACCAAAUAAUUAUAAAGAAAUAAUUGCCUUAUUUUAACGAGCCAAUUAUCCAGAAAUAAUCCAUGAGCGUUGUGCUACAGUAUGUUGACACUUUAGCGGGCCGAUUUGAUGCGAUGGAGUUUGUGCUUCUCUUUCUCCGAGGGCUGACGGGGAAUGAAUCUAACCAGUGGAAAUAUAAUGGCUGUUAAUGAAGUUUAUGCUCUGGCUGAACACUAUCGUCUAACCAGGGCCACAAUGAUGGAUUGUCCACUACAUUUAGAACAAAAUGCAAUCAUACAUACAAGAGGUGGUGAUAGGAAAAGAGAAAAUGAAUGGAUUUUAAUUGAGUAGUUGCUGGUUUGGCUUGGAAUCACACUUCAUGUUUUUCACAACGUAUAAUGAUUACUAAAGCGUGGUUAUGUUUCGUGUAUCCUAUCAAGCCAAAUUACCUCAACAACUGCAAAACUAACUUUAUUUAGUAUAGUAUUUUAUUAUUAGCUGACAUCUUAUGAUUUAGCUCUAACCAGACAAAUUACGGUAAUACUACCGUAUUAUUUCAUGAAAAAUGAAACCCUUUGAUUUUUGUAAUGUUAAUGCCACUCUUGGAGAAUAGAAUAUGUAUUAAAUGUAAAAGUUGGUAAAUAAAAACAAAUCUUGCUUAACGGGUUAAUAACAAAUGGUUGAUUUUGAUUACAUUAGCCAUCUGGACAGGAUCAUUUGGAAAGCCGCUGUACUCUAGUAAUAUGCUGGACAUUUUGCGUAAAGGUCAUAUGAGACCCAGACAUUAGGGAUGAAGACUAGCUGUUAUUCAUCUUAGACCCAAAGGUCAAGUCUGACCACUUCUAUCUCUAAUGCACGGCCAUCCGUAUCACACAGCGAGGGAGCAGAUCUCUUAGGUCUUAGCUUGUUGUCUGUGAUGCAAGUGAUCAGAUGAACGAUGGACAGUCAUUCGGGUUAACUGUGUGUCUGUCCGUGUCACUUAUGAAUGAAUGAAAUGUCUAAGUUAUAAUUUAUAAAGAAUGCAUAAAGAAAUGGAGCAAGUUUUUUACUUUUGCAUUUACAUGUUUUUGUAUAUGAUUUGUAUAUUGAUUCGUACAGUAAUUUACUGUAAUGCAGUUUUGCAUCUUUUUAUUCAUAUCGGCUUAUGUUUGAGGAAGUUAACAUUUUUUAUACAGAUAAUCCACAAAGGUUUUUUCCAAAUUCCCACAUUUGUGUGUUUGCAAGUCGAGGCUUUUUAAAGGAAAAUUAUAUAAAUGCAAUUGCAAAUAUUUUAAGGUUUUUUGUGCUAAAUUAUGACCUGAACACAUUAACAGGUUUGUGAUCAA